rnacentral:tmRNA from 1 species
GGGGGUGCCUUGGUUUCGACGGGGCACAGACUGGCCCGAGGAGCAUGCGGCAGGGGUUACGGGCUGCCUUAAUAACUGUGACAGGUAUAUAAAUGCCAAAGCUAAAAGCAACGUGAUUGCUUUCCGUCCGCGUGUAAACGCUGGCGCAUUCGCAAUGGCCGCUUAACCUUGUAAGCCCCUUGGGUGGGGCGCAAGACUUAACGGUCCCGAUUCCUGCCUGCUGUUGUGUGGCGUGGCGGUGGAGAAUCGGCCAAAUCUCUGCCAUUCUAGGGGUAAGUGUGCCAAGCGCCCAACCCGAAUUUUUACUUGGCAACCUUGAGUAAGGGGGCGCACGGCCUAGCUCAUUGUAUUUCCCGGGCGAUAAGCAUGUAGAGCCUCACUGGAAAGUGUUUCGGACGUGGGUUCGAGUCCCACCACCUCCACCA